rnacentral:rRNA from 1 species
UACGGGGGGAGCAAGCGUUGUUCGGAAUUACUGGGCGUAAAGGGCGCGUAGGCGGUGUGUCAAGUCAGGCGUGAAAGCCCCGGGCUCAACCUGGGAACCGCGCUUGAGACUGGCACGCUCGAGUUCGGGAGAGGAUGGUGGAAUUCCCAGUGUAGAGGUGAAAUUCGUAGAUAUUGGGAAGAACACCGAUGGCGAAGGCGGGUCUCUGGGCAGUAACUGACGCUGAGGAGCGAAAGCAUGGGGAGCGAACAGG